rnacentral:lncRNA from 1 species
ACUUGAUUUUGUAAUAAUUAUUUGGGCUUAAGAAAUUAUGAAAAAUAAAGAGCCAAUUAGCCUAUUUUCUAGAAUGUGAGCCCAUUUGGCCCUUGUUCUAGAAAUGUGCUCUAGAAAUAUUUUUAGAAUAGUAGAAUGAUAUAGAUAAGUAUGGAGUGAUCUAGAGAGUGGAUAUUUUUGUAGAAUUGUGUAGAAGGUGAUUUGUAGCCAUUAGAUUAAAGUUGUGUUGGAUAAAUCUUGGCCAUUGAUUGAGGAAGUGGCCAAGUAUAAAUAGGUGUGGGAUUGCUCAUUUUGCAUCAAGCCAAAAAAUCAAAAACAAGUUUGAGUAAUAAAAUGUUUUCUUCUCCAUAAUCUUUCUACUCUUCCAAAAUUCCCUUAGCCUAAAAGCCUCCCUCCAAAUAUUAAUAGCAAUCCUCUUCCAACAUAAAUAAUGCUAACUGCCUAAGAUGAUAACUCAACAUAUAUAAUUCAUGAUGAAUAUAAAAUCUUAGUAAGUAUAAAAAUUUCUACAUUAUCUGAGUAUUUUAAUUUAAAAUAGCACGUAAUUAACUUGCUUUAUUUUUCAGGUUUGUUAUCAAUUUAUGCUUGAAUUCCUCUUAUUCGCCCUUUAUGUGCAUCGUUCUUUUUGCUAUUGCUCUUGAUUCAAGUUGUUGCAACUGUUAAAUGAUCAUUGUUGUAUGCUAAUGUCAACGUGUAAAUACAUAAGGUUAUAAAAUAUAUGUGCAUUUAAAUAGGAUGCCGGGGGUCUAUUUGGAAACAGUCUCUUUACCCCAGGGUAGGGGUAAGGUCUGCGUACAUACUACCUUCCCCAAACCCCACUAAGUGAGAUUAUACUGGGUUGUUGUUGUUUGUAUAUCGUGCGCCAAAAGUAGUUAACUCUGUUUGACACAUCGAAUCUGCUUUAAAAUCUACAUCUUGUCUAAUGCAAAUAUGAGUAAAGAUUUUCCGGAAGAGUUAAGCAUAUAGUAAGGUUUUGAAGUUGUCCCAAAUGAAUUCCUUUGAACUUUGUUCGUUUUCUCAUUUAAUUAACUAUUUUCUUAAUAGGCAAUUUGCGACUGAGAGCAUUAAGUAGUAAGCUCGCCUCAAGAUGUGUGCUUUUCUAUUAUAAUUUUAUAGAGCCCCCAGUGGAAAAAUCAUUACAACGACGAGAUUUGUUC